rnacentral:rRNA from 1 species
UNGGAAUCACUGGGCGUAAAGGACGCGUNGGCGGAUUAUCAAGUCUCUUGUGAANUCCUAUGGCUUAACCAUAGAACUGCUUGGGAAACUGAUAAUCUAGAGUGAGGGAGAGGCAGAUGGAAUUGGUGGUGUAGGGGUAAAAUCCGUAGAGAUCACCAGGAAUACCCAUUGCGAAGGCGAUCUGCUGGAACUCAACUGACGCUAAUGCGUGAAAGCGUGGGGAGCAAACAGGAUUAGAUACCCUGGUAGUCCACGCCCUAAACGAUGUAUACUAGUUGUUGNUAAGCUAGUCUUGGCAGUAAUGCACCUAACGGAUUAAGUAUACCGCCUGGGGAGUACGGUCGCAAGAUUAAAACUCAAAGGAAUAGACGGGGACCCGCACAAGCGGUGGAGCAUGUGGUUUAAUUCGAAGAUACGCGAAGAACCUUACCCGGACUUGAUAUCUAACAAAUCAUCUAGAGAUAGAAGAGUGUCUGCUUGCAGAAAUGUUAAGACAGGUGCUGCACGGCUGUCGUCAGCUCGUGUCGUGAGAUGUUGGGUUAAGUCCCGCAACGAGCGCAACCCACGUCAUUAGUUGCUAACAGUUCGGCUGAGCACUCUAAUGAGACUGCCUUCGUAAGGAGGAGGAAGGUGUGGACGACGUCAAGUCAUCAUGGCCCUUAUGUCCGGGGCGACACACGUGCUACAAUGGCAUAUACAAUGAGAAGCAAUAUCGCGAGAUGGAGCAAAUCUAUAAAAUAUGUCCCAGUUCGGAUUGGAGUCUGCAACUCGACUCCAUGGAGCCGGAAUCGCUAGUAAUCGUAGAUCAGCCAUGCUACGGUGAAUACGUUCCCGGGUCUUGUACUCACCGCCCGUCACACCAUGGGAGUUGAU